rnacentral:lncRNA from 1 species
UUUUAACCAGAUUUAACAAAGAAUAUUCUCAUUGGCAAGUCAUUUCAAACUAAUAAUAAUAGAAGACUUUGAAAAAAAGUAAACGAGUUAGAGUUUUUGAAUUAGGAUUUUGUAGCUUGACAAUCAUUAUGGUGAACAUUUUCCUGAACAGGUUCUUAUUCAUCAAAUGAUUGCAGACGACCAGAUACUAUACCAAUUUAUCGCAAAGUCAACAACAUUUAGGGUAACAAGCUAGAUCGGUUAAAUCUCGUAUCGAAGACCAAGUCCGGUACAACCCAUCACAAAUAUUAUGGUUCUAACAGGGGGUGAAGGCCACAAUUUUACCAUAAAACUGUGAACCGUUAUUCUAACCGUUAAACCAUCCCUGCGGCGCUGGUCAUUGGUCUUCCACUUUCGGUAGCCAUGAACGAAGAAGUUAACGACAGUACUUCGAGCCGGCCAUGGAAAGAAAUCCAGGGAAGGAAGAUUAGACUUGCACGUUUGAAGGUCGGAUAUGAAACAUGAUUCUGCGAAACGUUAAGAGGACAUCAGAAGUGACACCAUGAAAAAGUGCACAAAGAAACUGAAUUACUACCUGUGAAAAUUUAAAUGAAACUGACACAAACUGAAUCACUACUGCAAUUCGAAGCAAACAUGUUAGAGUACUCCGGGAAGAAUCAGGCUGACGAACGGUGACAUUUGAGAUUAUACCAUUCCUAGAGAGUAUGCAUAUAGCUCUCAAGGUCCUUGUUGAGAGAACGAUACAAUCUUCUUCGUAAUAUCUUUGAUAACGAACAAGACAAAAGUAAGGAUGGACCUCCAUUAGGAAACAAAAUUCGUUUCGUAGAGACCGAUCUCAAACAACAGUUUUUCCAAUUUAAAGAUUCUCAACAUUCAGUAAAACAAUUAACAGAAGCUUGCUCGCAUUCCUUAUCUAAGAGAGAGUUUUCAAUCCUAGAAUCAGAUUACAAGGUAUAUCCAAAACCAGAAAGGCAAUGAAUUCACGGCGACAGAGCAAGCAACCUUGUCAUUCACCGGUGCGUUUUCUGUUUCGGAAAGAAACAUCAAUUCUCCAUCAUCAAAAGUAUAUUGGUUUCAACUUGUAGAUAUUGAGAUGCAACAUCACGCGAGUUAAAAGAUGU